GACGAACGCUGGCGGCGUGCUUAACACAUGCAAGUCGAACGGAGAUUAUUAAUGAAGCUUGCGAUUUAAUAAUCUUAGUGGCGGACGGGUGAGUAACGCGUGGGCAACCUACCCAUAAGAGGGGGAUAACAGCUGGAAACGGCUGCUAAUACCGCAUAAACUUUUUAAGACACAUGUUUUAGAAAGGAAAGGUGGCGCAAGCUAUCGCUUAUGGAUGGGCCCGCGUCUGAUUAGCUAGUUGGUGGGGUAACAGCCUACCAAGGCAACGAUCAGUAGCCGGCCUGAGAGGGUGGACGGCCACACUGGGACUGAGACACGGCCCAGACUCCUACGGGAGGCAGCAGUGGGGAAUAUUGCGCAAUGGGGGAAACCCUGACGCAGCGACGCCGCGUGAGCGAAGAAGGCCUUAGGGUUGUAAAGCUCUGUUCUAUGGGACGAAGUCCUUGACUGUAAAUAAUGGUCAAGGUUGACGGUACCAUAGGAGGAAGCCCCGGCUAACUACGUGCCAGCAGCCG
rnacentral:rRNA from 1 species